CCAAAGAGUAGGGAAGUGUGUGAGCCAUGCGUCAAGAAAAGCCGCUAUUGUUUUACUUAAGCCCGUACCGUAAACCGACACAGGUGGAUGAGGAGAGAAUCCUAAGGCCGACGGGAGAAGCAUUGUUAAGGAACUCGGCAAAAUGACUCCGUAACUUCGGGAGAAGGAGUGCCAGCGAGAGCUGGCCGCAGAGAAUUGGCCCAAGCAACUGUUUAGCAAAAACACAGGUCUAUGCAAAACCGUAAGGUGAAGUAUAUGGGCUGACGCCUGCCCGGUGCUGGAAGGUUAAGAGGAGAGGUUAGCGGCAACGCGAAGCUUUGAAUUUAAGCCCCAGUAAACGGCGGCCGUAACAAUAACGGUCCUAAGGUAGCGAAAUUCCUUGUCGGGUAAGUUCCGACCCGCACGAAAGGCGUAAUGAUUUGGGCACUGUCUCAACAAUGCACCCGGUGAAAUUGAAAUACCAGUGAAGAUGCUGGUUACCUGCGCCAGGACGGAAAGACCCCAUGGAGCUUUACUCCAGCUUGAUACUGGGAUUCGGUAUUGCAUGUACAGGAUAGGUGGGAGGCUAGGAGGUGAUAACGCCAGUUGUCACGGAGCCGCUGUUGGGAUACCACCCUUGCAGUAUUGGAUUUCUAACCAGCGACCAUGAACUGGUCGGGGGACAAUGUCAGGUGGGGAGUUUGACUGGGGCGGUCGCCUCCGAAAGGGUAUCGGAGGCGCUCAAAGGUUCCCUCAGAAUGGACGGAAACCAUUCGAAGAGUGCAAUGGCAGAAGGGAGCUUGACUGCGACACCGACGGGUGGAGCAGGUACGAAAGUAGGACUUAGUGAUCCGGUGGUAUAAAGUGGGAUUGCCAUCGCUCAACGGAUAAAAGCUACCCUGGGAUAACAGGCUUAUCACUCCCAAGAGUUCACAUCGACGGAGUGGUUUGGCACCUCGAUGUCGGCUCAUCGCAUCCUGGGGCUGAAGUAGGUCCCAAGGGUUGGGCUGUUCGCCCAUUAAAGCGGUACGCGAGCUGGGUUCAGAACGUCGUGAGACAGUUCGGUCCCUAUCCGGCGUGGGCGUAGGAUAUUUGAGAGGAGCUGUCCUUAGUACGAGAGGACCGGGAUGGACUGGCCGCUGGUGUAUCUGUUGCAUACCAAAUGCAUGGCAGAGUAGCCAAGCCGGGACGGGAUAAACGCUGAAGGCAUCUAAGCGUGAAGCCCCCCUCAAGAUGAGAUAUCCCUACGUAAGUAGUAAGACCCCUUGAAGACGACGAGGUAGAUAGGUCAGAGGUGGAAGUACAGUAAUGUAUGGAGCUGACUGAUACUAAUCGGUCGAGGGCAUGACCAA
rnacentral:rRNA from 1 species